GUAGAGAAAAAUCUCCCAGGAACCCUCCUUCCUAAAGGAAGGGUAACAAAUUCCGAGCCAGAACCAGAGCUAAGAGCCAAGAGUGGAGAAUAAGCUGCAGAACGAGAUUCCUGACAGCAGCACUCUGAUUUGUAUUUGGGAUAGUAAACCUUGAGCCACAGUGAGGAAGGGGAGUUGAACAGAAAUCUCUGCAUCACACCAAAAUAGCGCAGCCCUCCGACUCCAGCAAAAGCAGGUGCUCUGACUUUUGGCCUCACUACUGACGGAUGCAGCAGCUCAGGCCCAGCACUGACAACCAUCCACCAAACUCAGGUCGCCUCUGAGAGUAAGAACUGUGGGCUCUGAGUCCUCUCUGCCCCCAUCUUCUGCCCCUCAACAGUCCCCCGGAAUCUGGCCAGGCUUCUCUCCUGGGUGAGUACCUGUGUGACCUUGGCUAUUGCAUACACCAUCCACAGAGACUCUGCCCCUGGCAAGGCGAGCCCUCUCUGCACCCUGUGUUAGUCACACGGUGAAAUGUCAUUAUUGUCAUCAUCAUGGUUAAUAUUUAGAGAUUAUCUACAAUUUCACUUUGCCUUUCUGCAAAAUAAGGAUAAUAUUCCCCAACUUCCCUACUUCUCAGGGUUGCUUCAAGAGAUAAAUUGGUUAAUGUGUUGGUCCAAUAUAUGCUUGUGGCCCAAACAUUGAAGGUGGUCAAUUCAGGACACAGCAGGGAAGGCAGUUUUCCUCCAAAGUCAGGCUGGCUGGUUUGACCCUGAUGCCAUCAUCAUUAGUGAGCUGGUCUAGGUGACAUUAUUUGACUUCUUCAUGCAUCUCCAUCUGUAAAGCAGGAGUGAUUGGAGUACCUAAAUUUCAGGGGUUUAGUGUAAGACAAGCCCUUGUACAGUAGGCAUUAAUGGAAGUUCUUUCUUGUAACAUUAAGAGAGACUCUUGGUUCUUAUUAUAAAACAUAACUAGAGGGGGAUAUUGUCCCUGUUUCUUGAACUCUUUGCGCAGUAAAAAUGGAACAUAAAAUGCUUGGACAGGAGGAGGGCCAUACGUACAGGUUAGAAUUUUAAGAAUAAUGGAGACUCAUGAAACAGCCUAAGUAGGAGAGAAGUUUCAUAAAAAGAUAAGUCCCAUUCCUGUGUGUGGAGACUGUAUUGUGUGGGGACCAUGUACAGAGGAGGCAUGCAGGCAACUGUUACAAUGGUAUGAGAGUGGAGAAGUGCAGGGGUUCUGUCAAGCUCUAGGAAGUGGAGGUGAUGGGCUUGGUAACUGGUGGGUGAUGUGGAAAGUGAGGAGAGGAAGGGGCAUAGGAUGAGUUCAUGUUUUGAGCCAGAGUGAAUAUUGUUUUCCUUUUCUGACUUGGGCUCUAAAAAAGGUGGAAAAAAAUUAUAUACAAAGAAAAAAUAUUGAAAGCAGCU